AUGACCUCAGCCUCCCUGAGCCAAGCUGUCCCUGGCCAGGGGCACCAGCACACACGCUGUGCCCUGAAAGCUCCCUGCACCACUGGCUUUGGAGUCUGCCACCCGCCAGCUGUGCGACAUUGGACAAAGGAUGGAACCUUGCCCUUUCCAGCAGCCCAGUUUGCUUCCCAAACUGAGGUUCAGAUGAUCCACAGGUCCUCCAGCUCCUUGCCCAAGCCGCAGCCUGUGUCCUCGCCAUUGCUGACUGAAGCCUGGGCUGUAGGGUCCUCAGGGGGCCUGGGCUGGGGCCGGUGCAGGAGUCCCCAGCUGUUGCCCCAGCUGCCAUUUCUAUCUUUACGCAGAAUGACCCCAAGAAUGAAGUCUGUGCUGACUCACCUGAGAGAGCUGACAGUUCCCUCCACGAUGCUCACACGUGAUUGGCAGCUCUUGUUCCAUCUGUGGCACUGAACUGACCCUCUUGCGUGCAGGGCUGUGAUUCUGUCUCCAAGCCCUCAACCCUCAGUAAGUAUUGGGAAAUGAAUGGCUGUACACAUUUUGCACAUUGUACCAUCAUUUGUUUACCGCUGUAUCUCCUGAGCCCUUUGGAUUCAUUCUCCUCUCUUCUGUGUUGUCUUUUUCCAUGUUUUCUCUAGCAGUGCUAUUUAAUGAGUAUGUGGGAGGCGGUGCUUGUUAGAUGGGGGAGAAAAGACUCAGCUCCUCUGCCUGCAUUUGGCUUAGUUUUCAACUUCAAGCUAAGUGAAGUGACACAAGAGUCCACAGUGGACUCAAAAGAAUGCCUUACAGGAAGCCCUAAGCUCUGGGCUUUAGGCCUACAAUAUUUUGAGUGCCCUUGGUCAGUCACUUCUUUAAUUUGAAUCUACUUUCGAUAUUACUUGUCAGCUAGACUAAUAAUAGCUAACACACAAGGUAGUUUUGAAGAUGAAACAAGACAGUGUACAUAAAAUGCUUGGCACUUCAAGGUGUUCAACCAGUGCUAAUUUCCUUUUACUUGAUUGGUGUCAUAACAUGGCUAUAAUUUGGUUAGUUCCUUAAAAGCAAAAUUCUGUAGGUCUUUGAGUAUUUUACACACAAGGCUAGGUUAUAACGUCCCUCGGUUCCUUUGCUGUUAAAUGGUGCCCUUGAAGCCUGACACUGGACUUUGCCAGGAAGAUAUUAGCUUUCUCCCAGCUUAGGCUAUUUUGGGAUUUGAUGGCUUUGGAAAGAAGAUAACAGCUGACUUUUAUGCAGAUAGAGGAUGGCUGUGCUCUGAAAGAAAGUGCCAAAACCUCAACUAAUGCCACUUGGACAGAACUCAGCACUCUCUGAAGUUGGGCAUUCAAAGGCUAUUAUUUUUAUGCCAGCAUAAAAGUUUACUCAGGAAGUUGCAAAAAAAUAAAAUCACAUAGUGAACUCCA
rnacentral:lncRNA from 1 species